rnacentral:rRNA from 1 species
CCCUUAGAUGUUCUGGGCCGCACGCGCGCUACACUGACGGAGGCAGCGAGCAUGUCCUUCGCCGAGAGGUGUGGGGAAUCUUGUGAGUCUCCGUCGUGCUGGGGAUAGAUGGUUGCAAUUGUCGAUCUUGAACGAGGAAUUCCUAGUAAGCGCGAGUCAUCAGCUCGCGCUGAUUACGUCCCUGCCCUUUGUGCACACCGCCCGUCGCUACUACCGAUUGGAUGGCUUAGCGAGAAUUUUGGAUCGGAGCCCGGGUGGUCGGCAACGGUCGCCCGGGAGAUCUGAGAAAUCAUUCCAGCUUGGUCAUCUAGAGGAAGUAAAAGUCGUAACA